rnacentral:tRNA from 1 species
GGCGCGGUGGCGGAAUGGUUACGCGGAAGUCUGCAAAACUUUAUAAGCCGGUUCGAUUCCGGUCCGUGCCUCCA